rnacentral:rRNA from 1 species
CAGCAGCCGCGGUAAUGCGUAGGUGGCAAGCGUUGUCCGGAAUUAUUGGGCGUAAAGGGCUCGCAGGCGGUUUCUUAAGUCUGAUGUGAAAACCCCCGGCCCAACCGGGGAGGGUCAUUGGAAACUGGGAAACUUGAGUGUAGAAGAGGAGAGAGGAAUUCCACGUGUAGCGGUGAAAUGCGUAGAGAUGUGGAGGAACACCAGUGGCGAAGGCGACUCUCUGGUCUGUAACUGACGCUGAGGAGCGAAAGCGUGGGGAGCGAACGGGAUUAGAUACCCCAGUAGUCCCUGUCUCUUAUAC